CUGCUCUACACCAGUCACAGGAAUGAAGAUCUGGAAAUGUGAAAAUCUGCAGGAAAUCUGGAAGAAGAACCUUUGCCAACCGAAGGUCAGGAUGUUCCUCUCAGCUGCUUGUUCCAGUGCCUUCCUGCCUGCUGCCAUACUUCCCACCAUGAUGAUGAUGGACUAAACCUCUGAAACUAUGCAGCUGCAAAUGCCUCUGUGUGGUUUGGAGCUCAGAUGGCUCUCACUUUAGGAAGUCCUGGCCGAUCAGAAGGAACUUUAUUCCAUGAAUGAAUGAUCAUGUUGUCCCAGGCAGAAAUUCCACUAUGAAAAACAAAAAUAAAAUGAUAAACAUG